rnacentral:rRNA from 1 species
UACGAAGGGGGCUAGCGUUGCUCGGAAUCACUGGGCGUAAAGGGUGCGUAGGCGGGUCUUUAAGUCAGGGGUGAAAUCCUGGAGCUCAACUCCAGAACUGCCUUUGAUACUGAAGAUCUUGAGUUCGGGAGAGGUGAGUGGAACUCCGAGUGUAGAGGUGAAAUUCGUAGAUAUUCGGAAGAACACCAGUGGCGAAGGCGGCUCACUGGUCCGGUACUGACGCUGAUGUGCGAAAGCGUGGGGAGCAAACAGG